rnacentral:rRNA from 1 species
GACGAACCUGACGAACGUUAUUCGGAAUCAUUGGGCUUAAAGUGUGCGUAGGCGGCCUUGUAGGUGAGGUGUGAAAUCCCACGGCUCAACCGUGGAACUGCGCUUCAAACCACAAGGCUUGAGUGAGGCAGAGGUAAGCGGAACUGAUGGUGGAGCGGUGAAAUGCGUUGAUAUCAUCAGGAACACCGGUGGCGAAGGCGGCUUACUGGGCCUUGUCUGACGCUGAGGCACGAAAGCUAGGGGAGCAAACGGG